rnacentral:lncRNA from 1 species
AAUUAUUAUGGAGAAUAGAGUUUUGAGGGCAGUAAUAUCUAUAUUGUUGAAAGUCAUUAAUCAUAGGCUCUCAUCUAGCAUUAUUAACCCAUCUAUAUUGAUUACCACCACAUGUUAAUCAACUUGCAUAUAUCAAGGUAUCAAGAAACUUAGUCUAAGAUGCACUAUGCAUGACAUUAACAGCCACAAUUUAUUUUUGAAAAGUCACUAGUAUAUGUUCCUUAUUGUGGUUUUUGCUUAUGGCAUGCAUUAUUACAUAUUACAAGUUACUCAUGCAAUAGGCAGGAAGUAAUGCAAGUUAACUAGUUAAUAUCAUGCAAAAAAAAAAAAAAAAACUAAAUUCACAAUAUUGUUGGCUUCCAGAGACCAAGAAGUAAUGCAAAGGCAUGAUGUAAACCACUUACUUCAUUUUCAGCUGCUUCCAGGUUGUGAGCUGAGUCAUACACCUGUGAGUAACUUUUAAUAAAAUAGAGGUGUUCACCCUUGUCCUUCAAUUCCUUCACAUUGUAGAUGAAAGGCCUCGCCCCGGUGUGGUGGUGCAAUGUCUUCUUGUCUCGAUUACUCUUGUUUGCAGCCGAUCUUCUCUGUAAUUUCAUCAUAUUAACACUUUGGUUAUUAACAUCAAGCUUAAUCAUCAAAAACCACAAACACAAAACUGACCAAAUGAACAGUAGUAAUGCAAAACCCAGAUAUAUACUUGUCCCCAGAGAAACUAUUGUAGUAAUGCAAUGCAAGUAAUAUAUAUACUUGUAUCUAGAGAAACUGUUGUAGUAAUCAGUGGAAUAUAUAUAUA